UACGUAGGGUGCGAGCGUUGUCCGGAAUUAUUGGGCGUAAAGGGCUCGUAGGCGGUCUGUCGCGUCGGGAGUGAAAACUCAGGGCUUAACCCUGAGCCUGCUUCCGAUACGGGCAGACUAGAGGUAUGCAGGGGAGAACGGAAUUCCUGGUGUAGCGGUGGAAUGCGCAGAUAUCAUUUGGAACGCCAAUGGUGAAAACAGGUAGCUGGGGCUGUGCUGACACUGAGACACGAAAGCCAGGGGAGCGAACGGG
rnacentral:rRNA from 1 species